rnacentral:lncRNA from 1 species
AUGUUUUUUUUAGUUAUUGAGUACAACGUGUUUCUACGUAUAUUGACACGAUAUCACAAAGGUGUUUUCUUUCGGGCGAUGAUCGCAAUAGACUGUAGUUUUUUGUCAGUGCGCGGCUCGACAGCGCCCCCGGCGGCCGGCGGUGAGCGCAGCCUCCAGCAGCUCUCGCCUCGUUCAGUCCUCCGCAGCUCCGCCGACUGGAGGGAUGUGACCCCGGAACAGGACGCCUUCCUUCAGCAACACACCAUUCAAACGGAGCACAGAAGAAAGAAAACCUGGACCAGGAGGGAUAGCUGGCAGUCCAGAGCGUUGAAGCAGACACCCUGUCGAUGGCCGGGGCAUUGACGACGGCUGCACCCAGUGGGGAUCCAGGCUGCUGGCAAACGCUCCUAAUCGCCCUCAGUAGCAGCAGAGUGCUUCCCGUCGUUGGUUAAAGCAUGCCUGGCUUGUAUUCCUUUGCACAUUCCCCUGAAACAAUUUUGGAGUGAAAUUAGGACCCUGGGCCUCACCUCGUCUCGUUCCCUCGCCUCUUCAUAUUCAAGGCAGGUGCUUUCCAGCACUUGGCACGGCCCCCUUGAGCUGGAGGGGGACCUCAUCAGCUGCCUGCUCGGACUGUUUGGGAGGGUGGGUCAUGUCAUCUCACAAUCUCUCGCUCUGCUUUUGGCACGAGAAAUUGGCAAUCUGUCAGCUUUAACUGACGCACAGCGUAGCCGGUCGUGGCUUGACUUAAUUCAAGAGCCGCUCGCCCCAGUGUGACCGAGGCCACCAAAUGAAUACAACGCCUUAAUGGUUUUUAAAGCUAGCAAUCUGGUCUUUUCUGGACGGGAUCCCGAGCAUUUACAUGCCUUUAUGUGUGUGUGUGUGUGUGUUUGUUUAUAUAUAUUUAUAUAUAUAUAUAUAUGUCUCCCCCAUCUCUUUGAUCGCACAAGUUUCAGAAUUUUAUGCACUACAUAGACACGGGUGUUUUUGAAAGCUGGCAGCCUUUCCCCCGAGGGACCAGCUUAAGGCAGCAGCUUCUGUUUCAGUUCUUCUGAGGGGCCCUGAGGAGAGAGCUAAGAUGUU